rnacentral:rRNA from 1 species
UACGGAGGGUGCGAGCGUUGUCCGGAAUCACUGGGCGUAAAGGGCGCGUAGGCGGCGCGGAUAGUCGGCGGUGAAAGCCCGGGGCUCAACUCCGGGUCGGCCGUCGAUACUUCCGGGCUUGAGCACUGUAGAGGCAGAUGGAAUUCCGGGUGUAGCGGUGGAAUGCGUAGAGAUCCGGAAGAACACCGGUGGCGAAGGCGGUCUGCUGGGCAGUUGCUGACGCUGAUGCGCGACAGCGUGGGGAGCAAACAGG